UCCGGGCAUCUGGUACACGUACUUACAUCGCCAGGACUAGGCCGAGCUUUAUAUGUUCCUGGUGGACAUGCUGGAAGGAUAAAACGCUUUGGAUUUUCUUGUCACUAUUAAGAAACAGCAGUUACGGGAAAGGACUUUCCGGAAAAGCGUGAUGCGAGCUGAUCCGGGUGGAAGAGGUCUUGGUUGAUCAUUUGUCGUUAAUGUUCCUCUUCUAGCUGGUAACCCGCGUGGACUAUCAGUAGUCGUGUCUCCUGUUGAUGAUGAUUUUCCGGUACGGUCGGUGUUUGGAAAAGUCCUUCUCCUCGAUGGCAUAUGGCGGAGACCUCCAUUGACGUUAGAUUCUGACA